UUCCGGAGUGAGGCAAUGCCUCGCCCUGCUUCGGCUCGUGCAUGGUGCGCGCACCCACUGACCUGCGCCCACUGUCUGGCACUCCCUAGUGAGAUGAACCCGGUACCUCAGAUGGAAAUGCAGAAAUCACCCAUCUUCUGCGUCGCUCACACUGGGAGCUGUAGACCGGAGCUGUUCCUAUUCAGCCAUCUUGGCUCCUCCCUCCCAGAAACACUUCGUUGAACUCCUCACACCACCAUUCCAGAAGUCCUGCCUGUCCAUGGGCCAUUUCUUAUAUAUAAGGAAGAAUGAUUCAGUGGAUACAACCAAGAACUCAGAGGGUGGAGCCAAGAGCUAAGAAGAAUCAUUCCCAGAGAUCAGGACUGGGCCGUGAUGAAAGAACUAGUGAUGGAUUUCAGAAUUGCUAUGGAAUGCUAUGUGUUUCCUUGUUCCCCUCCUUUGUGAACUGAAGUGUCUACUGUGAUUAUUAAGUUUCUAACUCACCAUUGUAUGUUGGGUAUGUGGGGGCAUAUAAUUUGUUUCUUUAUUUCAUAGGUCCUGAGAUCUAGAGGCUCUGUACUCAAGGAGCUUCACUUGAGGAGCCUCAUCUCCACCUAGACCUGAUUUAGCUGAUGAAAUCCUGGUCCUCAGAUCUAAUCCUGAUGUUAAAAUAGGCUGAGACUUCUGGGGGCCUUGGGGGAAGGUGAAUGUCUUUUGCAUGUGUGAGAAAUGUAAAUAAUUUAUGGCUAGAGAGGAGAGUGUGGUAGACUUAAAAUGGCUGCAAAUUCCUUGUGGCUCCUCCCAUUGAAUCUGGACUGGCUUUAGUCACUGCUUGACUAACAGAAUACAGUAUAUGUGAUGUUGUAGAAUUUUAGUCACAAGAUCACAAAAAACCUUGAUCUUCUGCCAGGGACUUUUUGAAUGCACCUGCCAUGCUGUGAGGAAGUCCAGGUAACCACAUGGAGAACCACACAGAGACAGAAUUUGAGAUCCCCAGCUGGCAGCCCUAGUGGAGCUCCUAGCUGACACCCAACACCAAUUUGCCAGUAAUGAAGAUAAUUCAUUCUGGAAGUGGAUACUCAGUUCCAGUGGAGGCAUCGGGUGACGCUGUGUAGCGCAGAAAUGAGCCAUCCCCACCCAAAUUGCAGACUUAUGAGUAAAAAUAAAUUACUGUUUUGAGCUACUGUUUUAGAGUGGUUUGUUAUGCAGCAUAAAUAACCAUAACGUUCCUUAACCUAGCAACUCCACAUCUAUAUGUCUACCUUAAAUAAACUCUUGUGAAUAAAAAAUAUGAAUGAG
rnacentral:lncRNA from 1 species